rnacentral:tmRNA from 2 species
GGGGAUGUAAAGGUCUCGACGUGGAUGGUUGUAUCAUGAACAGCGAGCCGGGGUUUCAUCUGCCCGCAAUACGGUGAAACGUUAAAUUAAACGCAAAAGAAGAAAAUUUUGCUUUAGCUGCCUAAUCGCAGCUAACGUCUCUUUCUGCUAAUCCUGCGAGCAGAUUGUAGACGCCACUUAGCGGGAUACCAUCUGGCGAUGCCUGAACGCCGGACCGGGAAACUUACAGGCUGGAACAGUCUGGUUUGUCCUUGUACGAACGCUGUUUGAGAUAAAUAACAAGGUCUGCGCUCGGAGAAAUUCAUGGGGCGGCAUUUACGGACAGGAGUUCGACUCUCCUCAUCUCCACCA